AGCAGUCGCCGCGGGAAUACGAAGGGGGCUAGCGUUGUUCGGAAUUACUGGGCGUAAAGCGCACGUAGGCUGACAUUUAAGUCAGGGGUGAAAUCCCGGGGCUCAACCUCGGAACUGCCUUUGAUACUGGGUGUCUUGAGUAUGAGAGAGGUAUGUGGAACUCCGAGUGUAGAGGUGAAAUUCGUAGAUAUUCGGAAGAACACCAGUGGCGAAGGCGACAUACUGGCUCAUUACUGACGCUGAGGCUCGAAAGCGUGGGGAGCAAACAGGAUUAGAUACCCCCGUAGUCCCUGUCUCUUAUAC
rnacentral:rRNA from 1 species